UACAGAGGGUGCGAGCGUUAAUCGGAAUUACUGGGCGUAAAGCGUGCGUAGACGGCUAUCUAAGUCGGGUGUGAAAGCCCCGGGCUCAACCUGGGAAUUGCAUUCGAGACUGAAUAGCUAGGGUACGGUAGAGGGAAGUGGAAUUUCCGGUGUAGCGGUGAAAUGCGUAGAUAUCAGGAGGAACACCUGUGGUGUAGACAGCUUACUGGACCAUUUCUGACGCUGAGACACGAAAGCGUGGGUAGCAAACAGG
rnacentral:rRNA from 1 species